GAUGAACGCUGGCGGCGUGCCUAAUACAUGCAAGUCGAGCGGAAGGACGAGAAGUUCGCUUCUUUGAUGUUAGCGGCGGACGGGUGAGUCACAUGUGGAUCACCCACCUAUCAGUCUGGGAUAAUUACGGGAAAUCGGAGCUCAUCCUGGAUAAUAUUUUGAACCGCAUGGUUCAAAAGUGAAUGACGGUUUUGUUGUCACUUUUAGCUGGCUCCUAGCUGUAUUGUGUCGUUGGUAAGGUAACGGCUGACCAAGGCUACGAUGCCUAGCCGACCUGAGAGUGUGAUCGGCCACACUGGAACUGAGACACGGUCCAGACUCCUGCGGGAGGCAGCAGUAGGGAAUCUUCCGCAGUGGGCGAAAGCCUGACGCAGCAGCGCCACGUGAGUGAUGAAGGUCUUCGGUUCGUAAAGCACUAUUGUUAGGUGAGAACAGCUGUGUGUGUAACUGUUCCCAUCUUGACGGUACCAAAUCAAAAAGCCACGGCUAACUACGUG
rnacentral:rRNA from 1 species